rnacentral:rRNA from 1 species
CACGUGGGCAAUCUGUCUUAAAGUGGGGGAUAGCUCGGCGAAAGCCGAAUUAAUACCGCAUGUGAUUAGGGAAGACAUCUACCCGAAAUUAAAGCCGGGGCAACCUGGCGCUUUUUGAGGAGCCCGCGGCCUAUCAGCUUGUUGGUGAGGUAACGGCUCACCAAGGCUUUGACGGGUAGCUGGUCUGAGAGGACGACCAGUCACACUGGGAACCGAGACACGGUCCAGACACCUACGGGUGGCAGCAGUCGAGAAUUUUUGACAAUGGGGGAAACCCUGAUCGAGCGACGCCGCGUGGAGGAUGAAGGUCUUCGGGUUGUAGACUCCUGUCAUUUGGGAACAAGGCGGCACGGUUAACUGCCGUGCCGUUGAUAGUACCAGAAGAGGAAGAGACGGCUAACUCUGUGCCAGCAGCCCGCGGUAAUACAGAAGGUCUCUAGCCGUUGUUCGGAUUCAUUGGGCGUAAAGGGUGCCGUAGGUGGCGCCCGUAAAGUCGGGUNGUGAAAUUUCGGAGCUUAACUCCGAAACUGCAUUCGAGACUGCGGUGCUUGAGGACUGGAAAGGAAACUGGAAUUCAUGGUGUACAGUGAAAUGCGUAGAGAU